rnacentral:tRNA from 1 species
GGGUUGUUAGCUCAGUUGGUAGAGCAGCUGACUCUUAAUCAGCGGGUCGGGGGUUCGAAACUCUCACAACCCA